CCUACGGGAGGCAGCAGUGGGGAAUUUUGCGCAAUGGGCGAAAGCCUGACGUAGCGACGCCGCGUGUAUGAUGAAGGCCUUUGGGUCGUAAAGUACUGUCGAUCCGGAAAGAAAACCCGGCCGCUAAUACCGGUCGGGCUUGACGGUACCGGAGAAGGAAGCACCGGCUAACUCUGUGCCAGCAGCCGCGGUAAUACAGAGGGUGCAAACGUUGCUCGGAAUUACUGGGCGUAAAGCGCGUGUAGGCGGCUCGCGAAGUCGACUGUGAAAUCCCAUGGCUCAACCAUGGAAGUGCGGUCGAUACUGGCGAGCUCGAGUGUCGGAGAGGGUGGUGGAAUUCCCAGUGUAGAGGUGAAAUUCGUAGAUAUUGGGAGGAACACCGGUGGCGAAGGCGGCCACCUGGACGAUAACUGACGCUGAGACGCGAAAGCGUGGGGAUCAAACAGGAUUAGAUACCCCAGUAGUC
rnacentral:rRNA from 1 species